UAAGCAUAUCAAUAAGCGGAGGAAAAGAAACCAACAGGGAUUGCCCUAGUAACGGCGAGUGAAGCGGCAACAGCUCAAAUUUGAAAUCUGGCUUUCGGGCCCGAGUUGUAAUUUGUAGAGGAUACUUUUGAUGCGGUGCCUUCCGAGUUCCCUGGAACGGGACGCCAUAGAGGGUGAGAGCCCCGUCUGGUUGGAUGCCAAAUCUCUGUAAAGUUCCUUCGACGAGUCGAGUAGUUUGGGAAUGCUGCUCUAAAUGGGAGGUAUAUGUCUUCUAAAGCUAAAUAUUGGCCAGAGACCGAUAGCGCACAAGUAGAGUGAUCGAAAGAUGAAAAGCACUUUGAAAAGAGAGUUAAAAAGUACGUGAAAUUGUUGAAAGGGAAGCGUUUAUGACCAGACUUGGACUUGGUUAAUCAUCUGGGGUUCUCCCCAGUGCACUUUUCCAGUUCAGGCCAGCAUCAGUUUUCGCCGGGGGAUAAAGGCAGCGGGAAUGUGGCUCUCUUCGGGGAGUGUUAUAGCCCGUUGUGUAAUACCCUGGUGGGGACUGAGGUUCGCGCUUCUGCAAGGAUGCUGGCGUAAUGGUCAUCAACGACCCGUCUUGAAACACGGACCAAGGAGUCGUCUUCGUAUGCGAGUGUUCGGGUGUCAAACCCCUACGCGUAAUGAAAGUGAACGCAGGUGAGAGCUUCGGCGCAUCAUCGACCGAUCCUGAUGUUCUCGGAUGGAUUUGAGUAAGAGCAUACGGGGCCGGACCCGAAAGAAGGUGAACUAUGCCUGUAUAGGGUGAAGCCAGAGGAAACUCUGGUGGAGGCUCGCAGCGGUUCUGACGUGCAAAUCGAUCGUCAAAUAUGGGCAUGGGGGCGAAAGACUAAUCGAACCUUCUAGUAGCUGGUUUCCGCCGAU
rnacentral:rRNA from 1 species